rnacentral:rRNA from 1 species
GACGAACGCUGGCGGCGUGCUUAACACAUGCAAGUCGAACGAAGUGGCGAACGGGUGAGUAACGCGUAAUCAACCUGCCCUUCAGAGGGGGACAACAGUUGGAAACGACUGCUAAUACCGCAUACUGAAGUAGGGGAUUGCGUCUGAUUAGCUAGUUGGAGGGGUAACGGCCCAGCAAGGCGUUGAUCAGUAGUCGGGUUGAGAGGAUUAACGGCCACUAUGGGAGUUGGACACGGCCCAGACUCCUACGGGAGGCAGCAGUGGGGGAUCUUCCGAAAUGGACGAAAGGCUGACGACGCAACGCCGCGUGAGUGAUGACGGCUUUCGGGUUGGAAAGCUCUGUUAAUCGGGACGCGGUACCGGAAUAGAAAGCACCGGCUAACUACGUGCCAGCAGCCGCGGUAAUUC